rnacentral:misc_RNA from 1 species
AAUCAUAUUUAAUCUUUCUCAUAUACAAAAUUCUGCCCUCUACAAGGGCUAAUUCACACUCUGCAGACUUAAAGCUCAACUAACCCUAGAGCCCUACAUGAUUGGCAUCAGAGACCAACACUAGAACUUAAUCUUACGGAGGAGAAAAGGAGGUAAUGAAUUGAAAUAACAAACUUGGUUGGCAGCACUCCAGGCCUCAUUUGUAUAAUGAUAGGCUGCUUCAGAGCAAGAAAUGCUCAAUUUGUACCAAUAGUUGAUAUGUUCUGCUUAGGCCCCAGGGCUGUCUCAGGCAAUCCUACCUAUUUUGCCUCAACACUGACUCCNCUCCUGUUUCAGAAGCAGAAUCUGUCGCAUGUGAUUCAAUGGAAGGUAAUGUGAGUAGCCGCCCUUUCUGGGCACGGGGCGGAAGAUGCUUUGCAGGCUUUCUUGAUCCUACAGUCCAGGGCAAGAAAACCCCAGUACCACCACGAGGGAUCUUUUUUGGACUCAACACCAUAGGGCGCACUGGAGCUAGCAUGACCACUGGGGUACGAAGGACUCCCCAUUUGGUCAUUAUAUCCAUUGCUUCGUACCCUCCGACAGCUCCAUUAGGCAUUGCAUAAGGACUUGGUAUGUUGGGUUGCCACAGGGUCAUGGCACCAGCCAUUGGACUAGCUGGUGGCGACCGGCCUUGGUUGGCAUCCGGGCGCACUUUGAAGAAUGUGAUGCUGACCCUCGUGUUCGGAGAUGGACACAUGACAUGUCUUGCCGUGUCAGCACUGUUUCCCCUCAUUACUAAGAGAGACCCUUUUCUCAAUGAAAGCAUGAGUGGACCUCUAUAAUUCCCAUCGUUGUCACUCACAAGAGUACGUCCAAAAGCCAUUGUCGAUUCAGCUAGGAGAAGAGUAGAGAUUGGCUGGUCCAAAUGGGGUGGCUUCUGAAAAGGCUGUGAAUAUUCAUCCUCAUCAAAGAAAUGAAUGAUACAACCAUUUGGUUUUUUAUAUUCUGGUAUUAGUUGCCACAGAAUCAGAUGAUCGAUGACACCUUGGAGAAGCGCCGGAAUUGGUUCUAUAUUACUUGUUCGGUUGUCACUUGUAGCUUCCUCCUUUAUAUGUCCAAAAAUGGGAACGCCAAACUGGACCAGCUCUCUCUUGUUUCCCUUCACCUGCUUGUUGAAUAAAAUGAAAGUCUCGCCUGCAAGGUCCCCAUUCUGACCAGCAACUCGGAGUUCAUUAACGAAGUCAGUCAAUUUAGACAGCUCAUAAUCAGUGAAAACGUCCUCAUAUAACUUUAGACCUUUCACAACAUUCACCAUGUGCCCCUUCACUUGUUCCUUUGCUGUGAAACCUUUUGUCAACUUUAUUUGAUCAGGACGUACAUUGCAGCCUUCAUGGUUGGAACAAAUGUCAAUGUUCUCACUAGUGGGCUGCACUUCUUGAGAUCCUGAAUCGGUAAUAUCACUAUCAGGCGAAUCGUCAUCUUCAACAACCUCGCCGCCAUCGCCAACUUCAUCAACGCCAUUUCCCAUGCUUUCCGCCACUUUCUUACCAACUUUCUCUUCCUCAACCAAGCAUGCCUCCUUCAACAUCACCUCCCUCUUCUGUUCACUUUCACCAUUAUUUGCAUUAAAUUUCUUCUCCGUCACUCGCCUUAGCUCCACUGCCACGUCAGCAAUCGAGUGAUA